rnacentral:rRNA from 1 species
CCUACGUGUGGCAGCAGUGGGGAAUAUUGGACAAUGGGCGAAAGCCUGAUCCAGCCAUGCCGCGUGUGUGAAGAAGGCCUUCGGGUUGUAAAGCACUUUCAGUGGGGAAGAAAGCCUUGGGGCUAAUACCCUCGAGGAAGGACAUCACCCACAGAAGAAGCACCGGCUAACUCCGUGCCAGCAGCCGCGGUAAUACGGAGGGUGCGAGCGUUAAUCGGAAUUACUGGGCGUAAAGCGCGCGUAGGCGGUCUGAUAAGCCGGUUGUGAAGCCCCGGGCUCAACCUGGGAACGACAUCCGGAACUGUCAGGCUAGAGUGCAGGAGAGGAAGGUAGAAUUCCCGGUGUAGCGGUGAAAUGCGUAGAGAUCGGGAGGAAUACCAGUGGCGAAGGCGGCCUUCUGGACUGACACUGACGCUGAGGUGCGAAAGCGUGGGUAGCAAACAGGAUUAGAUACCCCAGUAGUC